AGUGAACGCUGGCGGUAGGCCUAACACAUGCAAGUCGAACGGCAGCACAGUAAGAGCUUGCUCUUACGGGUGGCGAGUGGCGGACGGGUGAGGAAUACAUCGGAAUCUACUUUUUCGUGGGGGAUAACGUAGGGAAACUUACGCUAAUACCGCAUACGACCUACGGGUGAAAGCAGGGGAUCUUCGGACCUUGCGCGAUUGAAUGAGCCGAUGUCGGAUUAGCUAGUUGGCGGGGUAAAGGCCCACCAAGGCGACGAUCCGUAGCUGGUCUGAGAGGAUGAUCAGCCACACUGGAACUGAGACACGGUCCAGACUCCUACGGGAGGCAGCAGUGGGGAAUAUUGGACAAGGGGCGCAAGCCUGAUCCAGCCAUACCGCGUGGGUGAAGAGGGCCUUCGGGUUGUAAAGCCCUUUUGUUGGGAAAGAAAAGCAGCAGGUUAAUACCCCGCUGUUCUGACGGUACCCAAAGAAGAAGCACCGGCUAACUUCG
rnacentral:rRNA from 1 species